ACGAACGCUGGCGGCACGCUUAACACAUGCAAGUCGAACGAGAGAAGAGAAGCUUGCUUUUCUGAUCUAGUGGCGGACGGGUGAGUAACACGUGAGCAAUCUGCCUUUCAGAGGGGGAUACCGAUUGGAAACGAUCGUUAAUACCGCAUAAUAUAAUUGAACCGCAUGAUUUGAUUAUCAAAGAUUUAUCGCUGAAAGAUGAGCUCGCGUCUGAUUAGCUAGUUGGUAAGGUAACGGCUUACCAAGGCGACGAUCAGUAGCCGGACUGAGAGGUUGAUCGGCCACAUUGGGACUGAGACACGGCCCAGACUCCUACGGGAGGCAGCAGUGGGGAAUAUUGCACAAUGGAGGAAACUCUGAUGCAGCGAUGCCGCGUGAGGGAAGAAGGUUUUAGGAUUGUAAACCUCUGUCUUCAGGGACGAAAAAAGACGGUACCUGAGGAGGAAGCUCCGGCUAACUACGUGCCAGCAGCCGCGGUAAUACGUAGGGAGCGAGCGUUGUCCGGAAUUACUGGGUGUAAAGGGAGCGUAGGCGGGAUCGCAAGUCAGAUGUGAAAACUAUGGGCUUAACCCAUAAACUGCAUUUGAAACUGUGGUUCUUGAGUGAAGUAGAGGUAAGCGGAAUUCCUAGUGUAGCGGUGAAAUGCGUAGAUAUUAGGAGGAACAUCAGUGGCGAAGGCGGCUUACUGGGCUUUAACUGACGCUGAGGCUCGAAAGCGUGGGGAGCAAACAGGAUUAGAUACCCUGGUAGUCCACGCCGUAAACGAUGAUUACUAGGUGUGGGGGGACUGACCCCUUCCGUGCCGCAGCAAACGCAAUAAGUAAUCCACCUGGGGAGUACGACCGCAAGGUUGAAACCCAAAGGAAUUGACGGGGGUCCGCACAAGCAGUGGAGUAUGUGGAUUAAUUCGAAGCAACGCGAAGAACCUUACCAGGUCUUGACAUCGUAUGCAUAGCUCAGAGAUGAGUGAAAUCUCUUCGGAGACAUAUAGACAGGUGGUGCAUGGUUGUCGUCAGCUCGUGUCGUGAGAUGUUGGGUUAAGUCCCGCAACGAGCGCAACCCUUACUGUUAGUUGCUACGCAAGAGCACUCUAGCAGGACUGCCGUUGACAAAACGGAGGAAGGUGGGGAUGACGUCAAAUCAUCAUGCCCCUUAUGACCUGGGCCUCACACGUACUACAAUGGCUGUUAACAGAGGGAUGCAAAGCCGCGAGGUGGAGCGAACCCCUAAAAGCAGUCUUAGUUCGGAUUGUAGGCUGCAACCCGCCUACAUGAAGUCGGAAUUGCUAGUAAUCGCAGAUCAGCAUGCUGCGGUGAAUACGUUCCCGGGCCUUGUACACACCGCCCGUCACGCCAUGGGAGUCGGUAACACCCGAAGCCUGUAGUCUAACCGCAAGGAGGACGCAGUCGAAGGUGGGAUUGAUGACUGGGGUG
rnacentral:rRNA from 1 species